GACGAACGCUGGCGGCGUGCCUAAUACAUGCAAGUUGAGCGAUGAAGCUUGGUGCUUGCACCAAUUUGAAGAGCAGCGAACGGGUGAGUAACGCGUGGGGAAUCUGCCUUUGAGCGGGGGACAACAUGUGGAAACGAAUGCUAAUACCGCAUAACAACUUUAAACAUAAGUGUUAAGUUUGAAAGAUGCAAUUGCAUCACUCAAAGAUGAUCCCGCGUUGUAUUAGCUAGUUGGUGAGGUAAAGGAUCACCAAGGCGAUGAUGCAUAGCAGACCUGAGAGGGUGAUCAGCCGCAUUGGGACUGAGACACGGCCCAAAGUCCUACGGGAGGCAGCCAUAGGGAUUCUGCGGCCAUGGACGAAAGUCUGACCGCGCAACGCCGCGUGAGUGAAGAAGGUUUUCGGAUCGUAAAACUCUGUUGGUAGAGAAGAACGUUGGUGCGCGUGGAAAGAUCAUCAAGUGACGGUAACUACUAAGAAAGGGACGGCUAACUACGUG
rnacentral:rRNA from 1 species